rnacentral:rRNA from 1 species
AGCAGCCGCGGUAAUUCCAGCUCCAAUAGCGUAUAUUAAAGUUGUUGCAGUUAAAAAGCUCGUAGUUGAAUUUCGGGAUCAAUAUAUCGGUCGUGCCUUGGUACGUACUGGUAUCAUUGAUUUCUCCCUUCUGACGAACCAUGAUGUCAUUAAUUUGGUGUUAUGGGGAUUAGGACUGUUACUUUGAAAAAAUUGAGUGUUUAAAGCAAGCAUUAGCUUGAAUACAUUAGCAUGGAAUAAUGAAAUAGGACGUUGACCCUAUUUUGUGGUUUCUAGGAUCGACGUAAUGAUUAAUAGGGAUAGUUGGGGGCAUUAGUAUUCAAUUGUCAGAAGUGAAAUUCUUAGGAUUUAUUGAAGUACUAACUACUGACGAAAG